GACAAGGGAGACUAGUGUUAUUCAUCUUUAUUGGGUAUAUAGGGUACCUAGACGGAUUAUUUUGCCUUAACUGGUACUAAUGAUACUUGAGUUUUAUGUGUGAGGUAGAUCUCAGAACUACUGGAGUAGAGAUGAAAUAUUUUAAUACCUUUAGGACGGGUAAUGGCGAAGGCAAACCUCUAUGUAAAAACUGACGUUGAGGGACGAAGGCUU
rnacentral:rRNA from 1 species